rnacentral:rRNA from 1 species
UACGGAGGGAGCUAGCGUUAUUCGGAAUUACUGGGCGUAAAGCGCACGUAGGCGGCUUUGUAAGUUAGAGGUGAAAGCCUGGAGCUCAACUCCAGAAUUGCCUUUAAGACUGCAUCGCUUGAAUCCAGGAGAGGUGAGUGGAAUUCCGAGUGUAGAGGUGAAAUUCGUAGAGAUCCGGAGGAACACCAGUGGCGAAGGCGACACGCUGGGCCGUAC